CAUGAAUUUACAACUAUCUCAAAAAAAAGAUAUAAAACAUGACAAAAUGAAGAACUACUCAUUAAAAGAAUAUAUUUAGUGAAAUUAUAAAUCUGAAACUGGAAAAUCCUGAGUCUUCAGAUUUCCCUGAACUCUCUGGACCUGCAAAAAUAACCUGUUUCUCCCUGUUAAAGCCAGUUUUUCAGAUACUGAACCUACUGACUAAAGAAGUGGCCAGGUCUCCAGGAAGAAGUUACCUGCAACACCAUGGCAAGUGUAUAAUGAUUUACUCAGGUAACUA